rnacentral:lncRNA from 1 species
GUGAGAACCACUAAAAGGUUGUAAAGAUCAUUCUUAAGUAUUUGAAAAAUACUAAGGACUAGUGACUUAUCUAUGAAGAAAUCGACUUAAAACUUAUGAAAUUUACAGGCUUUAAUUUUUGGUCGGAUUAUGAUGAUAGCAAGAGUAUAUCGGAUUAUAUUUAUACCUUGAAUGGUGGAGCAGUCUAUUGAAAGAGUUUCAAGCAGCACACUGUGGCCGACUCUACUUAUGAGA